rnacentral:lncRNA from 1 species
CGAACGGUAGGAUGUGUACUUCUCCGAGCCCAUCAGAAGGUAAGGGUUAAUGAGUUUGCUGUGGCAUAUUGCGUGGAUCUGAGAGCGUUCCGGCGGGCCACGCGUUCACACACUUUGGUGAGGCGGUGACACUCGUGAGUCAUUUGCGCUCCGCUCUCAGGAGUGACGGCUUAUGCCCGCUCAUGGACCACUGCAUGAACACCACAGGAUCUGUCCACGAUACACCUGACCACCGACACAUCUCCGGCCGCAUGCUCCCUGUCCAUCAUCACCACAAACGAGCGUCUGUUUGCGCCUCUCUCCGCAUAACGCAUUACUCUUAGUUAUUUGCCAUGCCAAGCUGGAGGAGAAACCUGACUUUUUGCCUGCAGAGAAUGCAUGACGAAGAUGAUGGGCCGUACUCUAAGGGGAACAAGGACUCAACGGGGCCAGACAACUCACUCACAUCCAGAAGACAAAGCAUCCCAGAACUGCGUGGGGUUACACUGGUUGAGCUGAUUAAGAAGGAAGGAAGCACUUUAGGUCUCACCAUCUCGGGCGGAACAGACAAGGAUGGCAAACCACGCGUCUCCAACCUGCGGCCGGGUGGACUGGCGGCUAGGAGCGAUCAGCUCAAUGUGGGCGACUACAUCAAGUCAGUCAAUGGGAUCAACCUGACCAAGCUGCGUCACGACGAGAUCAUCAGUCUGCUAAAAAACGUAGGCGAGCGCGUCGUGCUGGAAGUGGAGUAUGAACUGCCUUCACCUGCGCCAGACAGUACCUCAGGUGUUAUUUCCAAGACAAUCGAGAUCUGUUUGCAGAAAGAGGGCAACAGUUUCGGCUUUGUUAUGCGAGGUGGAUCCCAUGAGGACUGGCACAGAUCUCGUCCUUUGGUGGUCACACACGUCCGACCUGGUGGUCCUGCUGACAGGGAAGGGACCCUAAAAGCAGGCGAUCGGAUCUUAAGUGUGGAUGGUGUGGUUUUACACAGUGCUAUUCUGAGCGAUGCUCUUACAGUACUGACUCAGUGUGGCCAGGAGGCCCUGUUCCAGAUAGAGUAUGAUGUCUCCAUCAUGGACUCGAUGACAAACGCUUCAGGUCCUCUGCUGGUGGAGAUUGCCAAGGCGCCCGGAGCCAGUCUGGGAAUCACUCUGACCACUGCCAUGCACAGGAACAAACAGGCCAUCGUCAUCGACAAGAUCAAGCCCGCCAGUGUGGUGGACAGGUCUGGAGCGUUACACGUGGGUGAUCAUAUCCUGUCUAUAGACGGCACCAGCACAGAGCACUGCUCCGUCCUGGAGGCCACGCAGCUGCUGGCCAGCACUACUGAUCAGACCAAACUAGAGAUCCUCCCCGCACACCAAACACGCCUGCCUGGGAAACCCCAGGACACUGUGAAAGUUCAGAAAAGUGACCACCCGCACUGCUGGGACCCCUGUGUGAACUACUGCCAUUCUCAACAUCCUGGUCACUGUAAGACGUCGACAUGGACCUCUGCUUCCAGUAACCCAUCCAGCAUGACCAGCCAGGGUUCCAGCACGCUGCCCCGGGCUGCUCCUCCCAUGAGCCCACGGAACUCCAUGCUAAAGAGACGACAAAGGAAAAAAGAGCACAAAAGCUCCUCUGUGUCUUUAGCCUCAAGUUCUGUGGGCCCUGGUGGUCAGAUCGUCCACACCGAGUCCAGUGAGGUCACUCUGAGAGGAGACCCUCUAAAUGGGUUUGGGGUUCAGCUGCAAGGUGGAAUAUUUGCGACAGAGACCCUCUCUGCACCCCCUCUUAUCCGCUUCAUAGAACCGGACAGCUCGGCCGAAAGAACGAGAGUUGGAGAUCGCAGAUCGCACAUAAACUUUGUGUCAGCACUUCCCCCCAGUAAGAAACCAGGAGAGCCUCUUAUCAUAUCUGACAUUAAAAAAGGCAGCAUGGCACACAGAACAGGAACUCUGGAGCCCGGAGACAAGCUGCUGGCCAUAGAUAACAUCCGUCUGGAGAACUGCUGCAUGGAGGACGCCGUCCAGAUCCUCCAGCAGAGCGAAGACCUGGUCAAACUCAAAAUCCGCAAGGAUGAGGACAACUCAGACGAGCAGGAGUCGUCCGGCUCCAUCAUCUACACGGUGGAGCUGAAGCGCUACGGCGGCCCGCUGGGCAUCACCAUCUCCGGCACCGAGGAGCCCUUUGACCCCAUCAUCAUCUCAGGCCUGACCAAGAGGGGUCUCGCUGAGAGGACUGGAGCCAUUCACGUUGGCGAUCGUAUUCUGGCCAUCAACAGCGUCAGUCUGAAGGGGAAGCCGCUCAGUGAAGCCAUACACCUGCUGCAGAUGGCAGGAGAAACCGUCACCCUCAAGAUCAAGAAGCAGACCGACACACCAGAUGAUCAAAAUAAAGAGAACGAUCUGGAUAACGAGCUCAGCGAUAACGAGGACGACAUGACCGACUCGCAGAAGACCAACAAACUGUCGGACAUUUAUUCCACCACCAUCCCCAGCGUGGAUUCGGCCAUGGAGUCGUGGGACGGCUCGGGAAUCGACGGCGGUUACAGCAGCCAAGGUGGCUACACGCAUCAGGCCGCUGGGAUUGCGCUACACCCUCACGAGUGGCGUAACAGCAAGCAGAGGAACAGCACACCUCCUCCGUCCCGCCACAAGAACUAUCCCUUCAGUGACGCGGGAUUCAGUGAGGACGACUGGGACAAAGCUGCCGGUUUCUGGUGCCAGGCCCUGGAAGACCUGGAGACCUGCGGCCAGUCCGAGCUCCUGCGCGAGAUCGAGGUAAACCGCUGCGAUGACGAGAACAUCUCUAAUCAUCUCACGGAGAGCGAUGACUUUGGAUUCAGCGUAUCGGACGGGUUCUUGGAAAAGGGUGUUUGCGUGAACAUGAUCAGGCCUGAAGGUCCGGCGGACCGUGCUGGACUCAAACCGUACGACAGGAUCCUUCAGGUGAACCACGUGCGGACGCGAGAUUUCGACUGCUGCUUAGCUGUGCCCCUCAUCACAGAGGCCGGAGACAAACUUGAGUUGGUGAUUAGCCGAAACCCAUUAGCACAGCUGGGUGUUGCCCAGCCCCACGACUGCCAGCCACACUUCAACCCCGUAGGCCAUUCCCGUGAGCACCAGACCAGCACGCUAGACCUGUGACCACUGGGUAACUCAGACUAUGACCACACCGGACCAUUUGUUGCAACAGACUAUCAGAAGGAGCCAUGAUUCACUGGUUUCAUUACAAAACUCAAAUGAACUGAAAUAUCCAGAUUAUAAGGAGUGAUCGUGGAAACUGUACAACAAAAGAUUUGAGCCAGUUUUCAGUACAAAACUCGAAAGGAUCUGAGCCAGUUUUUUAAAAACAGAACAAAACAAAACAAAAAUAUUGGACUACUACAAUGCAUACACCAUACAUGGACUUCGCCCAUCAAAUUUUUUUUUUUUACUAUGGAGCCUAGCACAUGAUAUGGGGGGAAAAUAUUAAUAUAAUGGCCACAAAAUAAGAAUUAAUUCUCAUGACUUAUUCUCCAAGUUUUCGUAAAUCGUGGCCACAAUGUACUGAUUAGGAGCCAUGAUUCACUGGUUUCAUUACAAAACUCAAAUGAACUGAAAUAUCCAGAUUAUAAGGAGUGAUCGUGGAAACUGUACAACAAAAGAUUUGAGCCAGUUUUCAGUACAAAACUCGAAAGGAUCUGAGCCAGUUUUUUAAAAACAGCACAAAACAAAACAAAAAUAUUGGACUACUACAAUGCAUACACCAUACAUGGACUUCGCCCAUCAAAAUUUUUUUUUUUACUAUGGAGCCUAGCACAUGAUAUGGGGGGAAAAUAUUAAUAUAAUGGCCACAAAAUAAGAAUUAAUUCUCAUGACUUAUUCUCCAAGUUUUCGUAAAUCGUGGCCACAAUGUACUGAUUCAGUUAACCGUGGUUAUGUUCUACUGAUUCAUUCCCUUGUUAUUUUAAAACAUGGUCAGAUAGUACUGAUUCAUUUUCUUGUUUUAGUAAGUUAUGGCCACGUAGUACUAAUUCAUUCCCUUGUUUUGGUAAACCGUGGUCUAAACGAAGGUAUGAAUUAGUGUAAUGUGACUGCAUUCAGCUAAAACGAGGAAACAUUUAAUUUAAUUCUUAAUUUGUGGCCAAGAUGUAGAUUUUUUCCCCUUACAGUUUUUUUUUUCUUUUCUUUUCUUUUUUUUGUUUGGUUUUAUUUUAUUAAUUUUUGUUUCGAUUUUUUUUUCUCUCGGAUAAAAACAUACUGUGUCCAAACGUUUACAAAAAAGAAAAAGAAUUCUGCUUUUGAUGUAGAUCGCCAUUAGACGUAAACAUUUUUAAAUGUUUCUUAUGUUUCCAAUUUCUAGUAGCAAGUGUUUUUACUUCCAAAACAAACUACAAAUUAAGCUUUAUUUUUGUUUUAGUCCUGGAUGAGUCACUGUAGGAAUACCUUCAGGCACACAUUGUCCUUUCUCACAAACACAUACACUACUACUAUAAACAGACAAAACACCACCAUUCUUUGUUCCCUAAACGCAUAAACAUUAUAGACUCCCUACAAAUAAACUUCAAUUUGCCUCUGUGUCA